rnacentral:rRNA from 1 species
AUGCACGCUGGCGGCGUGCCUAAUACAUGCAAGUCGAGCGAACAGACGAGGAGCUUGCUCCUCUGACGUUAGCGGCGGACGGGUGAGUAACACGUGGAUAACCUACCUAUAAGACUGGGAUAACUUCGGGAAACCGGAGCUAAUACCGGAUAACAUGUUGAACCGCAUGGUUCAACAGUGAAGGACGGUCUUGCUGUCACUUAUAGAUGGAUCCGCGCCGCAUUAGCUAGUUGGUAAGGUAACGGCUUACCAAGGCAACGAUGCGUAGCCGACCUGAGAGGGUGAUCGGCCACACUGGAACUGAGACACGGUCCAGACUCCUACGGGAGGCAGCAGUAGGGAAUCUUCCGCAAUGGGCGAAAGCCUGACGGAGCAACGCCGCGUGAGUGAAGAAGGUCUUCGGAUCGUAAAACUCUGUUAUUAGGGAAGAACAAAUGUGUAAGUAACUAUGCACGUCUUGACGGUACCUAAUCAGAAAGCCACGGCUAACUACGUG